CGAGACUAUGAUUUUCCUUGUUUUAAUAUAUGUGAAUUUCCAUAAUAAGAUGUCAAAUAAUUUAAUAUCAGUCUUUUUCUUGUUUUAAAAUAUUAAGUAAGUUUAAACAUUUAAUUAACAUCUGAGGGUUUGGAUUUUAAGAUCUGAGGUACGGGUAUGGAUUUUACGAUCUGAGGUACGGGUAUAAAUAGGGAUCUAGAUAUCAUCGAGACGGAGAGGAUAUCUGGAAGGUCUGUGGGGAUCAUGAAUGGAGGAUUUAUGAGAGCACAUUGAAGUACCAUCACUCUCAUCGGAGGCGUUAUGGGGGAUGAGUUGGGGGAGGGGAAGAGAAUCGCGAAACAGAGCGAGACGCCGCUUAGGAUUAGGGAUGAUGAUUUUAGAGGAAGGGGCGAUAUAAUCCGAACCGUAAGAGCGUCUUUGGAUUUGUCUGGGAGUUGGGCUUAAUGGGCUGUGACACAAAAUACAUAUGAAGAGAGGCAGAGAGAUGAGGCUAUGGACUGGGCCGUGAUGAUUUCGUUUUUUUUUUUUAAUUUCAAACCCACUUCGUUAUGACCUGGCAUAUUGGUUGGUCCUGAUUAUUUUGUCCAUGUGGAUAGCCUUAGGAAGCUAGAAUUUAGCUGCUUUUAUAUAGUGGGAUAAAUAAUUAUUUAAAUAAAUAAUUUUUUUUCUUAUGUUUUCGAAUUAUACUCUUUCAAAUUCGAUCUUUUUUAUAAAUUAUUUUUGAAUUUUUUUUUUCAAAAUUUCCUUUUGAAAAUCGAAAAUUAGUUUUGAAACUAUUUUUAUACUUUUAUGAAUUUAUUUAUAUAUUUAUUAGAAUAUUAAAUUUCAUUCUAAAAACCCCACCCCUAAUUCUAAACUCUAAGUUUAGAUUCGUUAAAUCUAGGGUUAUAAAUAACAUUUAUCCUUCAUUAAAAGUGAGUGUAAAAAUGGUUAGAGUAAACAUGAAAAAUGAUAAUAUGAAUGUGAUAUUUUUUGGCAAUUUCCCAUGAAAACAGACUUUUUGUCCCUUUAAUAUAUUUUUUUUUGUCCUAUAUUUGAUCUAUCAAACUUAAUGAAAUAAUUUUAAUUUUAUUAAUAUAAAAAUUUAUUAAAAAAUAGAAACAAUUGAUGAAAA
rnacentral:lncRNA from 1 species